AAGCUCGUAGUUGAAUUUCGGGAUCAAUAUACCGGUCGUGCCUCAGGUAUGAACUGGUCUUAUUGGUUUCUCCCUUCUGACGAACCAUGAUGUCAUUAAUUUGAUGUCGUGGAGAAUCAGGACUGUUACUUUGAAAAAAUUAGAGUGUUUAAAGCAGGCUAACGCUUGAAUACAUUAGCAUGGAAUAAUGAAAUAGGACGUUCGACCCUAUUUUGUUGGUUUCUAGGAUCGACGUAAUGAUUAAUAGGGAUAGUUGGG
rnacentral:rRNA from 1 species